AGAUACGGCCCAAGGUUCCUUCAAAUGCGGCCUACGAAUGCAGCCUUCUUUUCCCGGAUUUGAAGGAUGCAUCGGCUGUAUCCUUCACGGCCCAACGUAUCCCAAGAUCCUUCACGGCCCAACGUAUCCCUCCGAAGAUUCAUUGCGCAUUCAAUCAAUGGAGUUGGCGGAGAAUGGCGAUUUAAGUUUUGCAUUUAAAUGGAGCCAGCAGCAUACUGCUCGAUUUAUUCAAUUGAGGGGGGAGAACGAUGAGCUGUUCACCGGGGUGAAAUACUCAGCAAGCGGCUUUGGGGUGACUCCCCUGCAGGCAAAGAAAAAAUGGGACAAUUUAAAAAAUAUACAUAAAGUAUGAACAGGUCAUUUUAAAUAUACAUUAUUUGUUUUAACCAUGCAAGUUAAUAAACACUUUUGCUGAAAUUUUUUUUGAUACUGCUGUUGUUGUUAACUGCCAUGAUUGAU